rnacentral:lncRNA from 1 species
AAAAUUCAAAUAAUUUCUAAUAACUCAAUCAAACUUUAAUCUAUCAAAAUAUAUUUAAAAAAAGUCACAAAAGAAAUACAAAAAAUCCUAAUAAAAAUCCCAAUGUAAUCCUAUUUGAAACCUUAAUUAAAUCUUAAUCAAAUCUUAGGUCAAAUCCAAAUGAAAUCCUAAAUCCUAAACAAGUUUUAAAUCAAAUCCUAAAAAAAUCCUAAUUCUAUCCAAAUCCUAGACCAAAUCCUAAACCAAAUCCUAAUCAAAUCUUAAAUCUUAAACAAACUCUUAACAAAUCUUAUGGCAAAAUAGAAUCUCAACAACUAAUGAUUAAAUCAUUGAUAUCAACUCAAUUUUUUCAUACUUCUUAAUAUCUUAGUUAAGAACAAGUAUAAGAAAGAUGAAAUCAAUUGCACAUAUCAAUUGAGAAAAAUACAAGAUAAUCCAAUUAGGUGUUGGAUAGCCUCUUACUCUAACCUGAAUGUUGAACUUUCAGUGCCAAUAUCUCCUUUUUGAACUAUUGAAUUG